GCUGGCGUAGCUCAGUUGGUAGAGCAACUGAUUCGUAAUCAGUAGGUCGGGGGUUCGACUCCUCUCGCCAGCACCA
rnacentral:tRNA from 1 species